rnacentral:rRNA from 1 species
CAUGCAAGUCGAACGCGUCUUGGGGGCAACUCCAAGAUGAGUGGCGAACGGGUGAGUAACACGUGGGUAAUCUCCCCCCGAGUGAGGGAUAAGCCCCCGAAAGGGGGUCUAAUACCGCAUGUGGUUCAACAUUCAUUUGCUGAACUAAAGGAGAAAUCCGCUUUUGGAGGGGCCCGCGGCCCAUCAGCUAGUUGGUAGGGUAAUGGCCUACCAAGGCGGUGACGGGUAGCUGGUCUGAGAGGACGAUCAGCCACAUUGGCACUGAGACACGGGCCAAACUCCUACGGGAGGCAGCAGUGAGGAAUAUUGCGCAAUGGGCGAAAGCCAGACGCAGCAACGCCGCGUGGGCGAUGAAGGUCCUCGGAUCGUAAAGCCCUUUUCUAGAGGAAGAGGAAGGACAG